AAAUUGAAGAGUUUGAUCAUGGCUCAGAUUGAACGCUGGCGGCAGGCCUAACACAUGCAAGUCGAACGGUAACAGGAAGCAGCUUGCUGUUUCGCUGACGAGUGGCGGACGGGUGAGUAAUGUCUGGGAAACUGCCUGAUGGAGGGGGAUAACUACUGGAAACGGUAGCUAAUACCGCAUAAUGUCGCAAGACCAAAGAGGGGGACCUUCGGGCCUCUUGCCAUCGGAUGUGCCCAGAUGGGAUUAGCUAGUAGGUGGGGUAACGGCUCACCUAGGCGACGAUCCCUAGCUGGUCUGAGAGGAUGACCAGCCACACUGGAACUGAGACACGGUCCAGACUCCUACGGGAGGCAGCAGUGGGGAAUAUUGCACAAUGGGCGCAAGCCUGAUGCAGCCAUGCCGCGUGUAUGAAGAAGGCCUUCGGGUUGUAAAGUACUUUCAGCGGGGAGGAAGGGAGUAAAGUUAAUACCUUUGCUCAUUGACGUUACCCGCAGAAGAAGCACCGGCUAACUCCGUGCCAGCAGCCGCGGUAAUACGGAGGGUGCAAGCGUUAAUCGGAAUUACUGGGCGUAAAGCGCACGCAGGCGGUUUGUUAAGUCAGAUGUGAAAUCCCCGGGCUCAACCUGGGAACUGCAUCUGAUACUGGCAAGCUUGAGUCUCGUAGAGGGGGGUAGAAUUCCAGGUGUAGCGGUGAAAUGCGUAGAGAUCUGGAGGAAUACCGGUGGCGAAGGCGGCCCCCUGGACGAAGACUGACGCUCAGGUGCGAAAGCGUGGGGAGCAAACAGGAUUAGAUACCCUGGUAGUCCACGCCGUAAACGAUGUCGACUUGGAGGUUGUGCCCUUGAGGCGUGGCUUCCGGAGCUAACGCGUUAAGUCGACCGCCUGGGGAGUACGGCCGCAAGGUUAAAACUCAAAUGAAUUGACGGGGGCCCGCACAAGCGGUGGAGCAUGUGGUUUAAUUCGAUGCAACGCGAAGAACCUUACCUGGUCUUGACAUCCACAGAACCUUGUAGAGAUACGAGGGUGCCUUCGGGAACUGUGAGACAGGUGCUGCAUGGCUGUCGUCAGCUCGUGUUGUGAAAUGUUGGGUUAAGUCCCGCAACGAGCGCAACCCUUAUCCUUUGUUGCCAGCGGUCCGGCCGGGAACUCAAAGGAGACUGCCAGUGAUAAACUGGAGGAAGGUGGGGAUGACGUCAAGUCAUCAUGGCCCUUACGACCAGGGCUACACACGUGCUACAAUGGCGCAUACAAAGAGAAGCGACCUCGCGAGAGCAAGCGGACCUCAUAAAGUGCGUCGUAGUCCGGAUUGGAGUCUGCAACUCGACUCCAUGAAGUCGGAAUCGCUAGUAAUCGUGGAUCAGAAUGCCACGGUGAAUACGUUCCCGGGCCUUGUACACACCGCCCGUCACACCAUGGGAGUGGGUUGCAAAAGAAGUAGGUAGCUUAACCUUCGGGAGGGCGCUUACCACUUUGUGAUUCAUGACUGGGGUGAAGUCGUAACAAGGUAACCGUAGGGGAACCUGCGGUUGGAUCACCUCCUUACCUUAAAGAA
rnacentral:rRNA from 1 species